AUUGAACGCUGGCGGCAUGCUUUACACAUGCAAGUCGAACGGUAACAGGCCUUCGGGUGCUGACGAGUGGCGAACGGGUGAGUAAUGCAUCGGAACGUGCCCAGAGGUGGGGGAUAACGCAGCGAAAGCUGUGCUAAUACCGCAUGUGAUCUGAGGAUGAAAGCGGGGGACCAGGCAGCAAUGUUUGGCCUCGCGCCUUUGGAGCGGCCGAUGUCAGAUUAGGUAGUUGGUGGGGUAAAGGCCUACCAAGCCGACGAUCUGUAGCUGGUCUGAGAGGACGACCAGCCACACUGGGACUGAGACACGGCCCAGACUCCUACGGGAGGCAGCAGUGGGGAAUUUUGGACAAUGGGCGCAAGCCUGAUCCAGCAAUGCCGCGCGCGGGAAGAAGACCUUCGGGUUGUAAACCGCUUUUGUACGGAACGAAAAGGCUCUGGCUAAUACCUGGGGCUGAUGACGGUACCGUAAGAAUAAGCACCGGCUAACUACGUG
rnacentral:rRNA from 1 species